CGGCACGCGUAAUCAUGGGAAAGCUGAUCGAGGUGUUUACACGAUUCGGCUAUCCUGAGCAGCUGAUAACGGACAAUGCGUCCUACUUCACUGCCAAACUCUUCGUGGACUCUUGUGCAGCUCUCGGCAUUAAGCACAGGAGAACAACCACGUACCAUGCCCAGGCGAAUCCCACUGAGCGUGUGAACCGCAACAUCAAGCACAUGCUAGUUGCAUUUGCGGGGACGCACAAUGAGUGGGACGCUUGUCUUCCUGAAAUUGGAUUUGCUAUCAGGUCGACAGUGAAUCGAUCGACUGGGUAUACACCCGCCACCCUCAACCUUGGGAGGGAGCUGUUGAAUCCGGUAGAACUUACUCUACAGGAACGAAGCAGCACGGAACUGGUUGUUUCGUCGGCACGCGCCGAUUAUGCGACUGGGCUGCGCGCGAAGGUAACGGAGGCUUUACGAAAAGCGCGACGGAACCUGAGCACUGCACGUGCCGAGCAGAAAGCGCAGUACGACCGCUCUCAUCGGGAAGUUCAGUACAAAGUGGGCGACCUGGUGUUGAGACGGAAUCACGUCCUGAGCGACGCCAGUAAGAAAUUCUCAGCUUCUCUGGCGCCAAAAUGGGCAGGACCGUACCGGGUGCGAGAGACUGUCUCUUCGCUCGUGUACAGGCUGGCGGACUUGAAGCUAAGACCGAUCAGCCGACCGGUGCAUGUCUGCGAUCUCAAACCCUACUAUGACAGAGGGAACGAGUGGCCCGAGGAGAAUGCUCUCCCGCGCCCGCAGGCAGCGGCAUCGGGUGGCACGGCUCGAGGUUCGAGCCCGGUGCGGCAUUAUAACUUGCGAUCUCGGCAGAACUAACUCUGUCCGGUUCGCGGAGGCUAUUUUAUUGUGCGCGAUAUCGGACGGAAUGCUCCUCCGAUGUCUAGCAUGCAGGCUUCCAGAGCGAGCACGCGCUUUCUCUUUGGAAGAAGCGAGAGGGGCUAACAGAAUUGUCGCAGCAGCAGACCGCCCGUCGGGAGCCGUGAAACAACCACCAAGCAAAAAGGAAAGACCAUCUCCACUGCCGGUGGGGACGAGCAGGCCGCAAGCAGUCAGCAGCCCAGUGCAGGCGACAGGAGGCGAGAAAACAUCCUCCUGCGGCUAACAGCGAGGUGAGAGGUGCAGCGGACGACUUCCGGUCCGGAAUGGUCGCAGCGGCGCAGAAUUCGCCGAACCGCGCCGCACAGCUCCGCGACCGAGUUGCAAGCCCCGCAACCAAGCAUCCAGCCUCAAGGCCGAGCGUACACUUCUCCCGCAAGGACAGAGUGGACCCCUGCUGCGCAGCGAGGUGCAAGCCAUCGUCGGGGCGGGUCGGCGCGCCUUUGCCUAUCUUGCGUGCCGACACCCGCGAGGGGGCGAGCUGUGUCGGAGCGAACCGGAAGAAAAGCGUUCGACCAUACCAGAGGGCAUCGAACUCCGAGAACAUCAAAAGAGCUGUCCUGCGCCAUCUCGAGGCUGGCUGGUAAUCGAGGCAGCCAAGAAACAUCCAGGGACCCUUUCGCCACCACGGACCCGGCACGUCCGACUGGGCAGGUGACGCCGCCGAGACGCAAGGUGACCCGGACCCAGCAGCCUUCUUGCCUCCUGCUGCGUCCCGUUACUGUCAAGCUGCUCCGUACCAUCCUUCAACGUUCCGGCCUGGCUCGCGACCACCUACACGGCGACAACGACGGUCUGCAGCUAGAGCUGCUCCCUCACCAACAUGGAUGGACUCAAACCGUGUUGCUGUCGGAGUAGCAUGUCCCUCUCGCAGGAAAGCCUCAGGUGACGGCGGCCUCUUAGCGGCUAAAGGGUUAUUUUAAGGAGGGGGGGAUGUGGGGAUCGCACGCGCAUCCCGAUAUCUCCGGAGCGGCCACGCGGUUAUCACGCGAUAAUCACGUGCUCGCUCGCGGAGGGUAGCGUGGAGAGGGCACCUUCGCCACUCCCGCUGCUCUUCGCGCCUGGCCGCAACGCUGCAGCCAAGGCACCCCGUUCCCUCCUUUCCCUUUCUUGGAACCGGGGAGACCCCCUCUCCGCCGCUCGGGAGAAGCGCUAUUCCCCCGACGCAUCUUUGUCUCACGGCGGAAGAGCUAGCGAACGGCCGCAUCUCAAAUCAGCCGCUGAGACCGCCGCACGCCGUCCCCCUGUGGCGCCCGGACCUUGGUGUGCGACUCACCGCCCCAGGGCCCGAGCGCGGAUCCACUUUUGGGCUGCCGCCAAACUUUGGAUUGUAUGAAGAGGAACCGGGGGUGAAUGCCACGUGGGCCGGCAGAUGCGCCUGCUGCUACUGACGUUCAACAUACAGGCAAAAUGACGGCCUCUGCUGAACCCGAAUGGCUGACCCCCGAGCGUGCGCGCCAGUCCGUAGUGCAACGCAACUGAUUGCGACCCACAGCGCCGCACUUUCGUCUGAGAAGAAUUUCAGACGCUUCCUCCGGGAGCCGUGAGAUACAAGAGUGAGGACAUUGCUUGUGUAGUGCGAGCAAUCUUGUGCGGUUUUCUCUGUAUGUAUUGUAUGACGUGUGAUCCUUAUUUUUAGGAAGCACCAACAAGAAUUAUUCAUAACACCGGAGGACAAAAUUUGUAACAUAGAGGAUCGAGAACUUUCAAACCACUCAGCACCUUUCAAUAGGGCACCACCACGACCAUAUAAUAGCUUCGUCAAAACGAUCGCAACGGCGGUAACCCGUCCUAUGUCAGGCGCCUCUGGAAUGAUGAUUCCGCUCCGACAAAGGAGCUGCUACAACGGUAAAUGUGAGUAGCGAGUUUAACUUUUUUUGCAUUAACAGUAUAAAAAGGUAAACAUAAACCAAUAAAAUCCCAGUGAGCAUUUUAUUCAGGCGCAAAUCCUACACAAAUAAUUUGCCUGUAACUUUCUUAGGGUGUUGUGGCCCGGCUGAAAUCCUAAAAUUUUUAGAAAGGGUGAAGAAUGUAGGCGAAAGGCCCACGUGUGUCAGAAGAACCGGCCGCUAUCCUGCUGCAGCUUAUCGUGCACCAUCCAUACCUGGUGAGAGUCUCUACAGAGCUCUCGCUACGUAUGAGUGCUGCUAGAAAAAACGAGCUGUGGGACGAGAUAGCGGGUGUUCUGAAUGAACAGGGGUCAGCGGGGAAAACGACAAGCUGCUGGCGCAAUCACUGGGUAAUGAUGGCCCAUAAAGCGAGAAAGAAGGCUGCCAGGGCGGCGAAGCGAGGACAGGUGAACUCCCUAAUAAUCCUGACAGUAAUGUCGUUUCACGUUGUUGUUCUUGUUCACGUGUUCACAGCGCUACGGCAUGCGGGAAAGUGUGCGGCAACGAGGGCCGCGUCCUCGACGUCCUCGGGAGGACCGUUGGCAGCCUGCGUGCCUCGCCUUCUCCCAGUUCUUAGCCGAUAGCGAAACCCACCAGCUGCGCAAGUGCACCCCCGGCAGCGGCAGCCCGACGAAGGACUUCCAGCUUUGCAGGCACACAGCCGAAGCAGCAGGAGCUCGAUGACGCCGUCAGCAGGGCGACUGCAGAGUGUGGCCGGCCAGAGCAGUCAGCUGAGGCGAGGGCCCAAGAAGGGCGGGAGCCGGAGCAGUGGCGUCGCUCGGCAUUUUGGAGAGCUGAAGCACGAAACAUUGACACGAGUCAAGCGACACGCCUGCAGAUAAUAAAGGGCACCCAUUGGCUG